rnacentral:rRNA from 1 species
CCGAGGAGUCCCAGUCGGCUGCGAGUCAUUGGAGCUUUUUUUUUUUUCUCGAAACGCACGAACUCCGACGGCACAGCGAAAGCGAGAACGCGACGUGCGUCGUGCAUGCACACGCGUUGUGUGUGCGCGGCCGAAGCAUCGUUCCCGGGUCGGUUCCGGCGCGUGCGUCGUCGUCGGCAGGGUAUGUUGUUUUUUUUUUUAGAAUUCUAUUUUGCCGCACUCGCAUUGCGCUCCGACUCAGGUGUAGCAGACGGCCGGGGACCCGAAAGAUGGCGAUCCACGCCCGGUCGGGACGAAGCCAGAGGAAACUCUGGUGGAAGUCCGAAACGCCUCUGACGUGCAAAUCGAUCGUCGGAACCGGGUGUAGGGGCGAAAGACCAAUCGAGCCGUCUA